rnacentral:rRNA from 1 species
CCCGCUCAGAACUUAAUGAAUUGACGGGGCCGCGACAAGCGGUGGAGUAUGUGGUUAAUUCGAUGCAACGCGAAGAACCUUACCUGGUCUUGACAUCCCGGAGACCCUUAGGAAACUAGGGGGUGCUUCCAUCUGGAAGAAUCUGGAGACAGGUGCUGCAUGGCUGUCGUCAGCUCGUGUCGUGAGAUGUUGGGUUAAGUCCCGCAACGAGCGCAACCCUUGCCUUUAGUUGCCAGCAGUUCGGCUGGGCACUCUAAAGGGACUGCCGGUGUUAAACCGGAGGAAGGUGGGGAUGACGUCAAGUCCUCAUGGCCUUUAUGACCAGGGCUACACACGUACUACAAUGGCCGAUACAAAGGGCAGCGACACUGCGAGGUGAAGCCAAUCCCGUAAAAUCGGUCUCAGUCCGGAUUGGAGUCUGCAACUCGACUCCAUGAAGUUGGAAUCGCUAGUAAUCGUGGAUCAGCAUGCCACGGUGAAUACGUUCCCGGGCCUU